GGCCUUGGAGAACUGUCGAAGAGAAGGGUUGGUGGAGAGUCGCCCCCGAGCCUGGUGGGCAGUUGAGUUCCAGCCAGAGCAGAGCUCAUCCAGGUGGGGGGACUUGGGGGGGGGGCAGGGCUAGAGAAGGGAGCCCCCCGCCACGUCAUCAGGGUAAGGACAAGGCUGAAGGAAGGAAAGGCUUGAGGCUGACACCUGGGAGGUGGGAGACCCAGGCUGACUGACAGAGGCUGCCCAGAGUGACCUCUGGGUCUGUUAGGGUGUAGGUACAGGACCAGGAGCUGCAGACCUUGGGAAGCACUUCCUAAGGUCAGGACCACAAGGAUGUCAGAUCAUCUAGUUAUCGGGCUAGUUAUUUAACCCCUCUGUGCCUCGGUUUCUUCCCCAUUGUAAAAUGGGGAUAAUAAUAGGACCUACUUUAUACUGUUGGGGGGGUGUUAAAUGAGUUAGUGAUGCAGAGUGCUAGCUAGCUGCCUGCCUGGCACUAUUACUGAGAGCUACCAUCUCUAAUUCAACCUACUGAAAACCCUCUAAGAAAGCCCUCACUACUCUUAAGUGUGCUCCCUGGACCAGCGGCAUGGGUGUUUCCCGGGAGCUGGUUAGAAAGGCUGAAUCUCAGGCUCCACCCCCGACCUCCUGAAUGAGGACCCACAACUCAAUAAGACUCCCACAGUUGGGGUCCAGAGGCGUGUCAGAGUGCAAAGCAGGAAGAGGCAGAGCAACCGAGAGCAAAGCUAGGCUCCGGAGUCAGGCUUCUAACCCAGCUCUGUCUGUCACAGCUGGGCAACCCUGGGCAAGUUACUUAACGUCUGUGGAUCUCAGUGCACGUAUCUGUGGAAUGGGAUAAUAGCCUUUCAACAAACCCAGAAGCUCCUGAGGAGGGAGAGCCAAGUGCUGGUCAGACCAGUGCCAGGACGAGCGUCAGGAAUGCUGGGACUCACCACGUCCUCCACCCUCCUUGCCAAUCGCAGGACACUGAGCCUUCCUUUGGAAGAGGGUACACCCUGGGUCUCAAAUUCUAAGGGUGGCAAAGAUUGUGAGAUCCUUCUAGACCGGAAAUGUCAUGCUGCAUAUUGGAAGGUUUCCAACACAUGGCCUCUGGCUUGGAUUUAUUUUUAUUACCAUCAGGUAAUGCUCAUAAGCUCUUAACAUGGUAUCUUGCAUGCAGUAUACCUUUGAUGUGUAUUAGCUAUUUACCUCUGCGUUUCUGCUUCUAUUGGAGAUGCUUCUAUCAGCCUAUAUACGUUCAGGUCUGACUUCUCGCCUGUAGCAGAUGCCCCUGGAGCCCGCCACCCCACCCCCGCCAUCUCCUUGGACCAUCCGUUGUAGUGGACAGCCCUGACUUCCAACCACUGAGCACUUUUUCUGCGGGCCAGAGCGUUACUGCCCACCCCCAGCCAGUGAGUGA